rnacentral:rRNA from 1 species
UAGGGAAUCUUCCACAAUGGACGAAAGUCUGAUGGAGCAACGCCGCGUGAGUGAAGAAGGGUUUCGGCUCGUAAAACUCUGUUGUUAAAGAAGAACAUAUCUGAGAGUAACUGUUCAGGUAUUGACGGUAUUUAACCAGAAAGCCACGGCUAACUACGUGCCGG